GCCAGGUGUGGUGGCACACACCUGUAAUCCCAGCUACCUGGGAGGCUAAGGCAGGAGAAUCACUUGAACCCAGGGGGCAGAGGUUGCAGUGAGUCGAGAUCGUGCCACUGCACUCCAGCCUGGGUGACACAGCGAGACUCUGUCUUUA
rnacentral:sRNA from 1 species